GACGAACGCUGGCGGCGUGCCUAAUACAUGCAAGUCGAGCGCAGGAAAUCGACGGAACCCUUCGGGGGGAAGUCGACGGAAUGAGCGGCGGACGGGUGAGUAACACGUAAAGAACCUACCCUCAGGUCUGGGAUAACCACGAGAAAUCGGGGCUAAUACCGGAUGGGUCAUCGGACCGCAUGGUCCGAGGAUGAAAGGCGCUUCGGCGUCGCCUGGGGAUGGCUUUGCGGCGCAUUAGCUAGUUGGUGGGGUAAUGGCCCACCAAGGCGACGAUGCAUAGCCGACCUGAGAGGGUGAUCGGCCACACUGGGACUGAGACACGGCCCAGACUCCUACGGGAGGCAGCAGUAGGGAAUCUUCCACAAUGGACGAAAGUCUGAUGGAGCAACGCCGCGUGAACGAUGAAGGCCUUCGGGUCGUAAAGUUCUGUUGUAAAGGAAGAACAAGUGCCGCAGGCAAUGGCGGCACCUUGACGGUACCUUGCGAGAAAGCCACGGCUAACUACGUGCCAGCCGCCGCAGUAA
rnacentral:rRNA from 1 species